UAUUACCUGCCGUGUGCGUAAGCAGGGGCAGAAGUGCAUCCAACAAAUGCGUCUUGGGAGCUCGAAUCCUGCCGCUCAGGUGGCAGGAGGGAAGCACCCACCUGUGUGACAGGGACGCAGCUUUCUGGCCCUUUACGGCACGGCGGGUCUCUU
rnacentral:other from 1 species